AGACUUGUAGCUGCAGCAUGUUGUCCAGACUCUUUCGGUGGUAAGGAGUAAGGUAAACCAGCGAAAGGUACAGUGUAACUCAUGUUGCGGUUAGCAGUAAACUCUUCAGUGUUCUUUCUUUGACCAGCUAAGUUAUCCAUAUCAGCGGCUGGACGACCCGCCACCACAUCCUUAGCGAGGCUGGAAGAAGAACCACCACCAGCACCACCUGCUUCAGACUCCGCAACAUCUUCGUUAUCAGCAGUUGAUCCUUCAUCAGUCGCG
rnacentral:lncRNA from 1 species